AAUAAACUAAUUUUUUACUUUUUACCUGUAGUUUUUGACUCUUCAUCUUAUUCCAAUUUUUUAUGCGAAUGAUAUUUUUGUUUUUAUUAAAUGAUAAAUUAUAAAUAAGUACUUUACGUGUGACUAAUUUUUUUAAUUUCUUAAAAUUUUUUUAAAUAAUACAGAUGGUCAAACGUUGGACACUGAAACCUGAGAAUUGGCUUUUU
rnacentral:pre_miRNA from 1 species